rnacentral:misc_RNA from 1 species
GAUGAAGAACGUAGCGAAAUGCGAUAAAUAAUGUGAAUUGCAGAAUUCCGUGAAUCAUCGAGUCUUUGAACGCACAUUGCGCCCCCUGGCAUUCCGGGGGGCAUGCCUGUCCGAGCGUCAUUGCUGCCCUUCAAGCCCGGCUUGUGUGUUGGGUCGUCGUCCCCCCCGGGGGACGGGCCCGAAAGGCAGCGGCGGCACCGCGUCCGGUCCUCGAGCGUAUGGGGCUUUGUCACCCGCUCGAUUAGGGCCGGCCGGGCGCCAGCCGGCGUCUCCAACCUUCUAUUUUACCAGGUUGACCUCGGAUCAGGUAGGGAUACCCGCUGAACUUAAGCAUAUCAAUAAGCGGAGGA